rnacentral:rRNA from 1 species
UGGGGAAUAUUGCACAAUGGGCGAAAGCCUGAUGCAGCGACGCCGCGUGAGGGAUGACGGCCUUCGGGUUGUAAACCUCUUUCAGCAGGGACGAAGCGAGAGUGACGGUACCUGCAGAAGAAGCGCCGGCCAACUACGUGCCAGCAGCCGCGGUAAGACGUAGGGCGCGAGCGUUGUCCGGAUUUAUUGGGCGUAAAGAGCUCGUAGGCGGCUUGUCGCGUCGACUGUGAAAACCCGCGGCUCAACCGUGUGGUCUGCAGUCGAUACGGGCAGGCUAGAGUUCGGUAGGGGAGACUGGAAUUCCUGGUGUAGCGGUGAAAUGCGCAGAUAUCAGGAGGAACACCGGUGGCGAAGGCGGGUCUCUGGGCCGAUACUGACGCUGAGGAGCGAAAGCGUGGGGAGCGAACA